AGAGUUUGAUCCUGGCUCAGAUUGAACGCUGGCGGUAUGCUUAACACAUGCAAGUCGAACGGAAACGAUACUAGCUUGCUAGUAGGCGUCGAGUGGCGGACGGGUGAGUAACGCGUAGGAAUCUGCCUGAUAGUGGGGGAUAGCCCGAAGAAAUUCGGAUUAAUACCGCAUAAUCUAUUCGUAGUAAAGUGGGGGACUUUCGAGCCUCACGCUAUCAGAUGAGCCUGCGUAAGAUUAGCUAGUUGGUAGGGUAAAAGCCUACCAAGGCAACGAUCUUUAGCUGGUCUGAGAGGAUGAUCAGCCACAUCGGGACUGAGACACGGCCCGAACUCCUACGGGAGGCAGCAGUGGGGAAUAUUGGACAAUGGGGGCAACCCUGAUCCAGCAAUACCGCGUGUGUGAAGAAGGCCUGAGGGUUGUAAAGCACUUUCAAUUGUGAAGAAAAGUUAACGGUUAAUAACCGUUAGCCUUGACGUUAACUUUAGAAGAAGCACCGGCUAACUCCGUGCCAGCAGCCGCGGUAAUACGGAGGGUGCAAGCGUUAAUCGGAAUUACUGGGCGUAAAGCGUGCGUAGGCGGUUUAUUAAGUCAGAUGUGAAAGCCCCGGGCUUAACCUGGGAACUGCAUUUGAAACUGGUCAACUAGAGUAUGGUAGAGGAAAGUGGAAUUUCUGGUGUAGCGGUGAAAUGCGUAGAUAUCAGAAGGAACAUCAAUGGCGAAGGCAGCUUUCUGGACCAAUACUGACGCUGAGGUACGAAAGCGUGGGUAGCAAACAGGAUUAGAUACCCUGGUAGUCCACGCCGUAAACGAUGAUAACUAGCCGUUGGGGGGAUUUACCCUUUAGUGGCGAAGCUAACGCGUUAAGUUAUCCGCCUGGGGAGUACGGCCGCAAGGCUAAAACUCAAAGGAAUUGACGGGGACCCGCACAAGCGGUGGAGCAUGUGGUUUAAUUCGAUGCAACGCGAAGAACCUUACCUGGUCUUGACAUCCUGCGAACUUUCUAGAAAUAGAUUGGUGCCUUCGGGAACGCAGUGACAGGUGCUGCAUGGCUGUCGUCAGCUCGUGUCGUGAGAUGUUGGGUUAAGUCCCGUAACGAGCGCAACCCCUAUCCUUAUUUGCCAGCACGUCAUGGUGGGAACUAUAAGGAGACUGCCGGUGAUAAACCGGAGGAAGGCGGGGACGACGUCAAGUCAUCAUGGCCCUUACGACCAGGGCUACACACGUGCUACAAUGGGAAGGACAAAGAGCCGCGAAGCCGCGAGGUGUAGCUAAUCUCAGAAACCUUUUCGUAGUCCGGAUUGGAGUCUGCAACUCGACUCCAUGAAGUCGGAAUCGCUAGUAAUCGUAGAUCAGAAUGCUACGGUGAAUACGUUCCCGGGUCUUGUACACACCGCCCGUCAUACCAUGGGAGUGGGUUGCACCAGAAGUGGCUAGUCUAACUUAGUGAGGACGGUCACCACGGUGUGAUUCAUGACUGGGGUAAAGUCGUAACAAGGUAACC
rnacentral:rRNA from 1 species